GACGAACGCUGGCGGCGUGCCUAAUACAUGCAAGUCGAGCGAACAGACGAGGAUCUUGUUCCUCGCACGUUAGCGGCGGACGGGAGAGUAACACGUGUAUAACCCACCUAUCUUUGUGGUAUCACUUCGGGAAACCGGAGCUAAUACCGGAUAAUAUAUUGAACCACGUGGUUGGAUAGUGAAAGACGGUGUUGCGGGCACUUAUAGAUGGAUCCGCGCCUGAUUAGCUAGUUGUGAAGGUAACGGCUUUCGUAGGCAACGAUGCGUAGCCCACCUGAGAGAGUGAUAGGCGACACUGGAGCUGAGACGCUGUCCAGAGUACUAAGGGAGGCAGCAGUAGGGAAUCUUCCGCAAUGGGCGAGAGCAUGACGGAGCAACGCCGCGUGAGUGAUGAAGGUGUUCGGAUCGUAAAACUGUGCUAUUAGGGAAGAACAGAUUUGUAAGUAGCUAUGCACGUCUUGACGGUAACUGAUCAGAAAGCCACGGCUAACUACGUG
rnacentral:rRNA from 1 species